AAUAGAUACCCUGGUAGUCCACGCCGUAAACGAUGAGUGCUAAGUGUUAGGGGGUUUCCGCCCCUUAGUGCUGCAGCUAACGCAUUAAGCACUCCGCCUGGGGAGUACGGUCGCAAGACUGAAACUCAAAGGAAUUGACGGGGGCCCGCACAAGCGGUGGAGCAUGUGGUUUAAUUCGAAGCAACGCGAAGAACCUUACCAGGUCUUGACAUCCCAUUGACCACUAUGGAGACAUAGUUUUCCCUUCGGGGACAACGGUGACAGGUGGUGCAUGGUUGUCGUCAGCUCGUGUCGUGAGAUGUUGGGUUAAGUCCCGCAACGAGCGCAACCCUUGUUCUUAGUUGCCAUCAUUUAGUUGGGCACUCUAAGGAGACUGCCGGUGGCAAACCGGAGGAAGGUGGGGAUGACGUCAAAUCAUCAUGCCCCUUAUGACCUGGGCUACACACGUGCUACAAUGGACGGUACAAACGGUUGCCAACCCGCGAGGGGAGCUAAUCCGAUAAAACCGUUCUCAGUUCGGAUUGUAGGCUGCAACUCGCCUACA
rnacentral:rRNA from 1 species